CCAUUGUUGAAUAUUAGAAAUAUUGCUGUUCUAGGUGAAGUAUUGCACAGCGUCAGUCAGAGACCCGUGUGCGUGCAUCAGUAUAACCACACACACAUACCAUCUCUGAGGACAAAGGAAGCAGGUUGUAUUCAACUUUAUUGAAGAGACAGAAUUUUUAAUGCAUUCUUACCGGUGCCCCAUGGAGACUACAUUUUUACCCCAGCCAUUUAAUUCAGCACAAAAGAAUAAUUUCCACAUCUUGUCCACCUCAACAAUCAUUGUGUGCAGUGGCUAAAAAGAUAUGUUGGGAAGUAAUAUGCUCUGGCCUGCUUCCAGCUAGUAGGAGCAACCAGGUCCUGUCAAUUAGCUGAGACCCCAUUUUACAUGGGCUGGCUCUUGAUAGGUUAACCCAGACUGGUAUGUAUCGCUCAUAACUGAUCUGGGGGAGACUGGAGCAGGCCCCAAGAUGUAGACCCUUCUCAGGCUUGACUCGGGUGGUUGGGCUACCUAGCGGUGUUAACAAAAACCACUUGGGUCUAGCAAGGUAAGUAUCCAGCCCCCCUGGGUCUACUUGGACAGCACGCAGGGUGUGGUGGUCUGGGGCCACAGACCUUAAAUGGUGCCCAAUUUUCUAUCGGUGAUUAGCACCACCCACACACCAGACCAUCUUGCACUACAUACGUGAAUCUGACUUACCAAAUCCAGUUUGGACUCUUUCAAAUUUCUUCACACCCCCUAAAUUGUCGAGUUCGAAUAG